rnacentral:lncRNA from 1 species
AUGACACCUGCACCUGCUCUCUGGCCGGGCUCUGGCACAGGAAGCCCUCAACAAACGCCCCUGGCAAGGGCUGUGCACAGCCACAGUGACCAGACAACAGCUCGCCGCACCACACCGUCACGGGAGACAGCGGUUAUUCUGAGCACCUCACCGCUGAAGAAACCAAGGCUCAGAGAAGAACCCUGCAUGCACAAGGUCCCACGGGUACCCAAGAAUCCGAGUGUCAGACAGCUUGCCCAUGCUCUUUGUGGAGCACCUUGGAGCCCUCCCCCACAGGCACCGCUGGCUCUCCUGACAUGGCCCACAAGUGCACGGAGGCUGUGCCUCCUCGGCCAUUGCCAGUUUAGAUUCCCAGGGGAAGCAUCAGAUGGCCCCGCUCUCCUGCUGGCAGCAGAGCACAUGGGACCAGCCGGAGCCCAGGGCAGUGGUCACCCGCGGGCCAGUCCACUGCGGCCAGCACCGCCCCCUAGAGGAAGCCGCGGGCAUGGGGGCCGGCAGUCCUGGGUCUCCCAGCUCAGGUGGUGCCAACACCGCCCCCUAGAGGAUGCUGCGGGCAUGGGGGCCGGCAGUCCUGGGUCUCCCAGCUCAGGUGGUGCCAACACCCGCCCCUAGAGGAUGCUGCGGGCAUGGGGGCCGGCAGUCCUGGGUCUCCCAGCUCAGGUGGUGCCAACACCCGCCCCUAGAGGAUGCUGCGGGCAUGGGGGCCGGCAGUCUUGGGUCUCCCGGCUCAGGUGGUGCCAGGAAGCUGCGGGCAUGGCAGACAGUGGCCCUCGGUCUUGCGGCUCCAUCCUGGCUUUCAAAUCUGCUCCAGAGGUUAUCUGGGAAGGGGCUGCUGCCUCACAGAGGGAGCCUCUAAGCCCACCAGGCGGGCGCUUUCAGCCCAAAGCCUCCGGGCCACCUCCUCAUCCUCAGCCUCAGGGGCCGGGGCCUUCUGUUUGAGUCCAUCGAAGUACUUUCCGGAAACAUCCGCCAGUUCCUCUGCCACGGCCAGGUAUGUGCUGGGCUGGGCGGCCAGCUCGGGGCUCUUGACCAGCAGCCAGAUGAUGGGCCCUGCAAUCAGCCCACAGGGCGUUCAGUCCACACACGCUCAGAGAAGCGAGGAAGCCACAGGGCGCUCAGUCCACACAUGCUCAGAGUAGCGAGGAAGCCCCACUCCCCCGUCAGGGAGCUCCGGGCCCCUGGAGUCCCACAGAGCCCUCCUCCAGCCCCUUCCCCUUGGCUCCCUCCAUCUGCAGUUCCCUUCCCUGGCACUGCCCAGGCUAAUCCCUCCAGACCAGGGAUCAGACCAGAAACUGCCUCCCCCAAGGAGCCCUCCUGGCUUUGUCCAGGAAAAUGGAAGCUCUCCUCCUCUUAGCCCCAGUCCUCACCCUAUCCCAUUUCUCCUUAAAUAACUUCUUAUUAAAUGCACCUAGCACCAGCCUCAGGUUAAGAAUUUUUUUUUUUUUGGCCAGGCGAGGUGGCUCAGGCCUGUAAUCACAGCACAUUGGGAGGCCGAGACAGGCGGAUCGCCUGGGGUCAGGACUUCCAGACCACCCUCGCCAACAUGAUGAUACCCCAUUUCUACUAAAAAUACAAAACUUAGCCAGGCAUGGUGGUGGGUGCCUGUAAUCCCAGCUGCUUGGGAGGCUAAGGUUGCAGUGAGCCAAGGUCGCACCAUUGCACUCCAGCCUGGGUGACAAGAGCAAAACUCCAUCUCAAAAAAAAUAAUUUAUAUAUAAUUUAUUUUUGGAGACCUGGUGUCUCACUGCCACCCAGGCUGGAGUAGAGUGGCGCGAUCUUAGUUCACGGUAACCUCUGCCUCCCAGGUUCAAGCAAUUCUCCUGCAUCAGCCUCCCGAGUAACUGGGACUUCAGGCACCCGCCACCACGCCUGGCUAAUUUUUUUUUUGAGACAGAGUUUUGCUCUUGUUACCCAGGCUGGAGUGCAAUGGCACGAUCUCGGCUCACCACAACCUCCACCUCUCGGGUUCAAGCAAUUCUCCCGCCUCAGCCUCCCGAGUAGCUGGGAUUACAGGCAUGCACCACCACACCCAGCUAAUUUUGUAUUUUUAGUAGAGACGGGGUUUCUCCAUGUUGGUCAGGCUGGUCUCAAACUCCUGACCUCAGGUGAUCUGCCUGCCUCGGCCUCCCAAAGUGCUGAGAUUACAGAUGUGAGCCAUCACGCCCAGCCUUAAUUUUUGUAUUUUUAAUAGAGAUGGGGUUUCACCAUGGUGGCCAGGCUGGUCUCGAACUCCUGACCUGAGGUAAUCUGCCUGCCACAGCCUCCCACAGUGCUGGGAUUACAGGCAUGGCUAUUAGCCUGGCCAAGUUAAGAUUCUUGAUGCCAACCACUCACCCACUCCAUGUUUUUCAGGAUUAUAAACACUAGUUAUAAAGCUUCAACUGGCUGGGGGUGGUGGCUCACGCCUGUAAUCUCAGCACUUUGGGAGGCUGAGGCAGGUGGACCACCUGAGGUCAGGAGUUCAAGACCAGCGUGACCAAUAUGGUGAAACCCCACCUCUACUAAAAAUACCAAAAUUAGCUGGGUGUGGUGGUGUGCACCUGUAACCCCAGCUACUUGGAGACAGGAGAAUCGCUUGAACCUAGGAGGUGGAAGUUGCAGUGAGUCAAGAUCGUGCCAUUGUAGUCAAGCCUGGGUGACAGAGCAAGACUUCAUCUCAAAAAUAUAUAAAUAAAUAAAGCUCCAACUGUUUAUUCCGCCUGUUCUCUGGGCAGGGCACUGUGCUGGCCUUUUUUUUUUUUUUUUUUUGAGACGGGGUCUCACUCUGUCACCCAGGCUGGAGUGCAGUGGCCGGAUCUCAGCUCACUGCAAGCUCCGCCUCCCGGGUUCACGCCAUUCUCCUACCUCAGCCUCCCAAGUAGCUGGGACUACAGGUGCCUGCCACCUCGCCCAGCUAGUUUUUUGUAUUUUUUAGUAGAGACGGGGUUUCACCGGGUUAGCCAGGAUGGUCUCGAUCUCCUGACCUUGUGAUCCACCCAUCUCGGCCUCCCAAAGUGCUGGGAUUACAGGCUUCAGCCACCGCGCCCGGCCGUGUGCUGGCCCUUUUAAGGAAGGUCUUGUCUAACCCUCCCAGUGUCUGUGAGGUGAGUCCUGUUAUGGCCUCCACUCUGCAGAUGAAGAAACAGGCUCAGAGGGGUAACAGCACUUCCCCAGGAGGCGCGGCUGGUUUGGGGUGAAGCUGGAGUUACCCUGAGCACAGUCUGACUCCAGGAGUCAGUUCCACGGCCUCUCCUCUGAGACACGCUUUUCUCAUCGGCCAGUGGGGCUCUGCCUGCUUCCUGAGGCUGUUAGAGGUUGGCAGGCCAGGUCGACAGAGGAAAGGGACCCGUCCUGUGCCUCAGAAGACACAGGUGAGGAGCAGGCAUGCGGCCCCAGGGACCGUCUCUGAGGGAGGGUCCUGGGCCCCGGGCUGAGAAAGCAAGGGUGGAGGGUUCAGCGUGCAGACCCCAGGCUGGGAGGGACUCACCGAGCGUGGUGCUGGAGAAGGUGGAGCCAUGGAUGCCCGUGUGUCUGCCCAGCUCUGUCCUGGCCACGCCGGGGUGCAGGGCGUUGACAGUCACACCAGAGCCUGGGGAAGAAAUAGAAGACUGAGGGAGAGGUCCAGCCUCACCUGGAAGGUUGUGGCAGCCCACACCCAGCUGUGGGGCUUCCGGGCGCCAGGCUGCUUCCUACACUCAAACCCCAUCGUCCCUCUUGCUCUGAAAUCUUAGUGAAGUGGUCUUAUCUUGCAGGGCGGCUCUGCCACAUGGCUGCUGGGAGCCGAGCUGUCCUGGAGGGCUUGAUAAACCCAGAAUGCUGAGCUCACCCCAGGAAUUCAAAUCAGUGGGUGAGGGUGGGAUCUGAGAUACUGUAACUCUGACCAGCUCCCACUGGGGCUGGCACCGCUGGUCCACAGACCGUCUUUCAGAAGCAAAGGCCCAGCACAGAUUCCUCAACCUCAGCACUAUGGACGCUGUGGAUCGGGAGGAGUGAGGGGCCGUCCUGUGUGCUGUAGGACCUUGAGCAGCAUCCGGGCCUUUACACUCCAGAUGCCCAGAGCAAUCUCUCCCCCACCCAGAUGUGAUCACUGUGUUUCCAGGCAUUGACAACUGUGGGCCAGAACUGCCCCUGGUUGAGACUCACUGGCUGGAGCCAAAAGGCUGAGCUGCCUGCCCAGCAGCAGCAGGGAAGGACACCUGAUCCAGGCAGACUAGACCACCUGGGAUGAACAGACAAUCAGCAGAAGAACAAUCGAUUAGUGAUGUCUGCUUCAGGCACCAGAAGGGGGCAGGGUGGUCUGUGUGCUCUACUUUUGCAGAUUCUGUUGUGGAGCCACAGCUUGGCCUCCCAUCAGCCUAGGAUCAUGGAAGGGCUGCUCUAGGCUCAGAGUAAAGCAAGAGGAGGCCAG